UACGGGGGGGGCAAGCGUUGUUCGGAAUUACUGGGCGUAAAGGGCGCGUAGGCGGCCUGCUAAGUCGGACGUGAAAUCCCUCGGCUCAACCGAGGAACUGCGUCCGAUACUGGUGGGCUUGAAUCCGGGAGAGGGAUGUGGAAUUCCAGGUGUAGCGGUGAAAUGCGUAGAUAUCUGGAGGAACACCGGUGGCGAAGGCGGCAUCCUGGACCGGUAUUGACGCUGAUGAGCGAAAGCUAGGGGAGCAAACGGG
rnacentral:rRNA from 1 species